AGCUUCCGGAAUAUGGGGGCCUUUGUCUCCGGCUGCAGCUGGAGUUCUACGUCUAGUCUUCAGAGGCCCAGUCUCCGUGACUUUGUGACCUGCAGGUAUUGGGAGAUCCACAGCUAAGAUGCCAGGACCCCCUGGAAGCCUAGAAAUGGUGAACAGGGUCUGGAGUGGACCUCUAGCAAGCUGCAACAGACCUGCGGAAGAGAGGCCUGUUAGAAGAAAAACUAACAAACAGAAAGCAACAACAUCAACAUCAACAUAAAGGACCACCACACAAAAACCCCAUCCAAUGUCAUCAGCCUCAAAGAUCAAAGGUAGAUAAGUCCAUGAAGAUGAGUAAAAACCAGUGCAAAAACACUGAAAAUUCAAAAAAUGAGAAUGCCUCUUCUCCUUCAAAUGAUCACAACCCCUCUCCAGCAAGGGCACAAAACUGGAUGGAGCAGGCUGGGUGCAGUGGCUUAAGC
ensembl:lncRNA novel transcript, antisense to ZNF429